UCGGGGCCUCUGCAAGAGGUGCUGCUGCUCCAGAGCAAAGCUGGUCAUGUUUGGGCUUAAAUUCAACCUUCGACAGUUAACUUGACACGGAGUUCUAGGAGGGGAAGUCAGUUUAACCUGAGGGUAUUACAUAGGUUAAUGUUGUUUGUGCACACGUGCAUCACUUCCUGAUUUUCAGCAAGCCGAGGUGGAGCUCCUUCACCUUCAGAAAUGUGUGGUCGGUCAAAGUGUUCCCGUAACCGCUCGCGCUUCAUGACCCGCCACAGACUAGAAGCACACAGAAACCCAUUACGGCUUUACCAGCUUCAGAAGACCUUGACUGAGACUUAGUCAAUCGAGCUCACUUGGCGCAGAGUCGGGCAAUGAUACUUAAACCGCAGGGGUCGCGUGUUCGCCAGUCAUUUGCCGAAUUGAUAAGGGCACAUGAAUUAGUUUCUGUUGCUUUAGUACUUGGAGAAGAUAUAAAAUAUAAGCUGCGGUCGUGUACUGAACUUGGCCAUUUGUAAUAAUCCUACCAGCCUAUUUUCCCACGGUGUUCCAACGCAGUCACAAUGUAGGGGAGGCAACUCUGUAUAGCGUUCUUACUUAAUCCCUUCCGUGCUGACUUCCUCGACCUUGAUAUUUGUUGACUCUAAAACUAC